AACGAACGCUGGCGGCAGGCCUAACACAUGCAGGUCGAACGCAUCGCAAGAUGAGUGGCGCACGGGUGAGUAACACGUGGGAAUGUAUCCUUUGGUUCGGAAUAACGUCUGGAAACGGACGCUAAUACCGGAUGAGCCCUUAGGGGGAAAGAUUUAUCGCCGAAGGAGCAGCCCGCGUCUGAUUAGGUAGUUGGUGGGGUAAAGGCCUACCAAGCCGACGAUCAGUAGCUGGUCUGAGAGGAUGAUCAGCCACACUGGGACUGAGACACGGCCCAUACUCCGACUGGAGGCAGCAGUGGGGAAUAUUGGACAAUGGGCGCAAGCCUGAACCAGCCAUGCCGCGUGAGUGAUGAAGGCCUUCGGGUUGUAAAGCUCUUUCGCACACCACGCUGAUGACGGUAGUGUGAGAAGAAGCCCCGGCUAACUUCGUGCCAGCCGCCGCCGUAAUAC
rnacentral:rRNA from 1 species